rnacentral:rRNA from 1 species
ACCAACGACUGUCCCACGUUGAAUACACCAUUCUCGUCCGAUCACUGAAGUUAAGCGCCGUCGGGCGUGGUCAGUAUUCGGAUGGGUGACCGUCUGGGAGAUCACGUGUUGGUU